rnacentral:lncRNA from 1 species
CACUUAGUCGUCUGGUCAGGGCCCGGUCAUCGGCCACUGCGUCGGCCGCCGAUCUCCGAUGCCGGCACCGCCGUCUGCAAUGGCCGAAAAAGGGGAAAAUCCCCUAUUUGGCCUUUUAGACCCCCUAUGCCCAAAUCUGGGUUCAAACCUUCAAAAUAUCAACAACAAGCCUCAAAGAAAUCGAGAAACCUUUCGGUUUCCGGCCACCGAUCCUCGGGGGUGGCUCCCUCGGUCGUCUCACGGCGUGACAGACCUACAUGAAGGUAAACUUCUCUACCUUUUCCUUUUAUUUUAUCAGUAUAAAAAAAUAAGAAAAUAAAUAACAGAAACAAAAAAUAUAUAUCAACCUUUGCGUUUUCGAUCGAUUUGUGUGAAAUAAUGCCUUGUUUUUAUUGAUUUUUCGAAUCCCCCUCCUCUGUUAUAGUAUAUCGAUGGCCCUUUUAUAGCCAUAAUAAUAAAAAUAUAAAGGGAAAAAAAUCUGUUUGAUUUUCUUCUUGAUUUGCAAUCUUUGAUCUUGUUUCCUUUUUUUGCGUUUAUUUGUUGUGCAGGUGAAGAUCCGCGGAGAUCCAGUUCAUGUGAAGGACAUGGUUGCGGCGUUGUUAAUCCUUAGAAACCCUAGGGUUUCUUCAUCUAUUUUGGGCCACUGUAUUCGGGCCUCUAUUCAUUUUGGGUCUUACAGACCCGUUUAUAUUUUGGGCCUUUUACCCAUACAUGACAAUUCAAUUUCAUGCAAAAGUUCGAUUUUUUGGUGAAUUACAAUAACAGGGUAAAGCUUG